GUAAGUUCAGAGGGUCAACAAUACGAAAUCGCGAAUUAUUUUCCAGAUGGAGUCACCGGAGUCACAGGUGACACGAUGCACGGUGUGCUGUACCGACCAUCAUUGUCCCCUUUGCCCCACUUCAAUAUACAAGCCCCGGUGUAGGGCAAAGGUUUGGCAGCACAUGGAGGUGCAUGUAAAGAAUGCCAUUCAACAUGAAGAUUUCUUCAUAACAAAAUGCCACCAGGCCUGCAGGAGUGGAAGCAGUGAUCACUUUCACUGCCCUUUCUGCCUCAAGACCACAAUAAAAAGGCAGGCUAUACUGAGGCAUUUGCAGAUCUGUAGGCCACCUCUCCAUGACGCUCAGUUGGACACUGAGGCAGACUGCAGAGAGAUGGGCAUCAAUUCCCAGACAGAGGAGUGCAAAGUGGGGUCUGUGAACCUACCUCAUCUCAGCACCGACAAACUGCCUGUACUGGUGAGUAUAUGUGUGUCUGUUUGUAAAGAAAACUGUGUGUGUGUGUGUGUGUGUGUGUGUGUGUGUGUCAGGUACAUGCUAGUGAAAUACAAGGACAAAGAGACCCAGCAGAGAGACAAGAAGGCAAGAAGGAGGGAGAGAGACCCUCCUUGUCAUUCAGUCCUAACCUGGACAACCCUCCCUGCAGAGUAACAGGAAGAAUCCUUUUACUGUCCAUCCCAGCUAUCAUUUUUGGGCACCUUGGAUUGGGCGAGGCACACAAAGGUCCAACACUGUGCUAAACACAGUUUUUAAAAGCUCAAGGUCCAAGAAACUCAGCAGAGGCAGAUGACAUCAAUAUUACUGAAGACAGACUCUCAAAUGAAUUGAUGAAUUUGAAGCUGGACGCAGUGCGCUCUGUAAGGAAUGUGGUGUCGACUCUUGCGGUUCUAAGAUAGAUAGAAGACAGCUUACGUUGGAAGAGGAAGGCGGGGUGAGCUGCGGCCGGGGGAUAUAUUCUGAGGACCCCCACCCUGGAUUCUGCAGCCAUUUCUGCCAACUAAUGGCAGGAUUUCCUGAGGAGGGAUAACAAGGAUCUGCACACAGAAGAAUACAAAAAUAAACAUGUUACACUC